rnacentral:RNase_P_RNA from 1 species
AGAGUUGGCGAGGUAGUUGCAGAUUCCUAUCUAAGGAAUUUGAGGAAAGUCCGGGCUUCCAAAGACCAGACUGCUGGGUAACGCCCAGUGCGGGUGACCGUGAGGAAAGUGCCACAGAAACAUACCGCCAAGAAGGUUCACACUUCUUUGGUAAGGGUGCAAAGGUGCGGUAAGAGCGCACCAGCAGUAUCGAGAGGUACUGGCUCGGUAAACCCCAGUCGGAAGCAAGGUCGAGGGAAACUAUGGUUGGUCUUUAACCGGUUUCCGUUUUGGGAGUACCGCUUGAGGCUUCUGGUAACAGGAGUCCCAGAUAGAUAACUACCCUCAGGCACGUUGCUUGAGAACAGAACCCGGCUUAUGUCCAACUCUCUUU